rnacentral:tRNA from 1 species
GGAGAGGUGGCCGAGUGGCUUAAGGCGCUCGCCUGCUAAGCGAGUUGGGGUUAAUCACCCCUCGCGGGUUCGAAUCCCGUCCUCUCCG